rnacentral:rRNA from 1 species
GAUGAACGCUGGCGGCGUGCCUAAUACAUGCAAGUCGAACGAAGCGGGGACGGGUGAGUAACACGUGGAGAACCUCCUAUAUGGCUGGGAUAAAUUCGGGAAACCGGAGCUAAACCGGAUACUUAGCGCUGGCUGCGCUCUGCAGUAGCUAGUUGGUAAGGUAACGGGUUAGCAAGGCAACGAUGCAUAGCCGAGCUGAGAGGGUGAUCGGCCACACUGGAACUGAGACACGGUCCAGACUCCUACGGGAGGCAGCAGUAGGGAAUCAUCGGGUAUGGGCGAAAGCCUGACGGAGCAAUGCCGCGUGAGUGAUGAAGGGCUUCGGAUCGUAAAGCUCUUUUAGUAGGGAGGCGGUACCUACACAGAAAGCCACGGCUAACUACGUGCCAGCAGCCGCGGUAAUAC